rnacentral:rRNA from 1 species
CCUACGGGAGGCAGCAGUAGGGAAUCUUCCGCAAUGGACGAAAGUCUGACGGAGCAACGCCGCGUGAGCGAAGAAGGCCUUCGGGUCGUAAAGCUCUGUUGUUAGGGAAGAACAAGUACCGGAGUAACUGCCGGUACCGUGACGGUACCUAACCAGAAAGCCACGGCUAACUACGUGCCAGCAGCCGCGGUAAUACGUAGGUGGCAAGCGUUGUCCGGAAUUAUUGGGCGUAAAGCGCGCGCAGGCGGUUCCUUAAGUCUGAUGUGAAAGCCCACGGCUCAACCGUGGGGGGUCAUUGGAAACUGGGGAAGUGGAGGGAAGAGGGGGGGAGCGGAAUUCGACGGGUGGCGGUGAAAUGGGUGGGGAUGGGGGGGAACACCAGGGGGGAAGGCGGCUCUCUGGUCUGAAACGGACGGUGGGGCGCGAAAGCAUGGGGGGCAAACGGGAUUAGAUACCCGUGUAGUC